rnacentral:rRNA from 1 species
UACGUAGGGGGCGAGCGUUGUCCGGAAUUAUUGGGCGUAAAGCGCGCGCAGGCGGUUUCUUAAGUCUGGUGUUUAAGUGCGGGGCUCAACCCCGUGACGCACUGGAAACUGGGAGACUUGAGUGCAGGAGAGGAGAGCGGAAUUCCACGUGUAGCGGUGAAAUGCGUAGAGAUGUGGAGGAACACCAGUGGCGAAGGCGGCUCUCUGGACUGUAACUGACGCUGAGGCGCGAAAGCGUGGGGAGCAAACAGG